rnacentral:rRNA from 1 species
UGGGGAAUUUUGGACAAUGGGCGAAAGCCUGAUCCAGCCAUGCCGCGUGAGUGAAGAAGGCCUUCGGGUUGUAAAGCUCUUUUAGUCGGAAAGAAAAGAUCAUAAUGAACAAUUAUGAUUCAUGACGGUACCGACAGAAAAAGCACCGGCUAACUACGUGCCAGCAGCCGCGGCAAUACGUAGGGUGCGAGCGUUAACCGGAAUUACUGGGCGUAAAGGGUGCGCAGGCGGUUUUGUAAGUCAGAUGUGAAAUCCCCGGGCUUAACCUGGGAAUUGCGUUUGAAACUGCAAGACUAGAGUGCAGCAGAGGGGAGUGGAAUUCCAUGUGUAGCAGUGAAAUGCGUAGAGAUGUGGAAGAACACCGAUGGCGAAGGCAGCCCCCUGGGUUGACACUGACGCUCAUGCACGAAAGCGUGGGGAGCAAACA